AGAGUUUGAUCCUGGCUCAGGACGAACGCUGGCGGCACGCUUAACACAUGCAAGUCGAACGAGCGAAAGGUGCUUGCACCUCUAGCUAGUGGCGGACGGGUGAGUAACACGUGAGCAAUCUGCCUUUCGGUGGGGGAUACCAAUUGGAAACGAUUGUUAAUACCCCAUAACAUAACGAAGCCGCAUGACUUUGUUAUCAAAGAUUUAUUGCCGGAAGAUGAGCUCGCGUCUGAUUAGGUAGUUGGUGAGGUAACGGCUCACCCAAGCCGACGAUCAGUAGCCGGACUGAGAGGUUGAACGGCCACAUUGGGACUGAGACACGGCCCAGACUCCUACGGGAGGCAGCAGUGGGGAAUAUUGCACAAUGGGCGAAAGCCUGAUGCAGCGAUGCCGCGUGAGGGAAGAAGGUUUUAGGAUUGUAAACCUCUGUCUUUGGGGACGAUAAUGACGGUACCCAAGGAGGAAGCUCCGGCUAACUACGUGCC
rnacentral:rRNA from 1 species